rnacentral:rRNA from 1 species
GAUGAACGCUGGCGGCGUGCCUAAUACAUGCAAGUCGAGCGAACGGACGAGAAGCUUGCUUCUCUGAUGUUAGCGGCGGACGGGUGAGUAACACGUGGAUAACCUACCUAUAAGACUGGGAUAACUUCGGGAAACCGGAGCUAAUACCGGAUGAUCUUUUGACCCGCAUGGUUCAAGAGUGAAAGACGGUCUUGCUGUCACUUAUAGAUGGAUCCGCGCUUCAUUAGCUAGUUGGUAAGGUAACGGCUUACCAAGGCAACGAUGCAUAGCCGACGUGAGAGGGUGAUCGGGCACACUGGAACUGAGACGCGGUACAGACUCCUACGGGAGGCAGCAGUAGGGAAUCUUCCGCAAUGGGCGAAAGCCUGACGGAGCAACGCCGCGUGAGUGAUGAAGGUCUUCGGAUCGGAAAACUCUGUUAUGAGGGAAGAACAUAUGUGUAAGUAACUGUGCACAUCUUGACGGUACCUAAUCAGAAAGCCACGGCUAACUACGUG